rnacentral:rRNA from 1 species
GAAUUUGCCUUUAGGAGGGGGACAACAACUGGAAACGGUUGCUAAUACCCCAUAUGCUUUCGAGUGAAAUGGUUUUUCCGCCUAAAGAGAAGCUUGCGGCUGAUUAGCUUGUUGGUAAGGUAAUGGCUUACCAAGGCGACGAUCAGUAUCUGGUUUGAGAGGACGAUCAGACACACUGGAACUGAGACACGGUCCAGACUCCUACGGGAGGCAGCAGUGGGGAAUUUUCCGCAAUGGGCGAAAGCCUGACGGAGCAAUACCGCGUGAGGGAUGAAUGCCUAUGGGUUGUAAACCUCUUUUUUCAGGGAGGAAUCAAUGACGUGUACCUGAAGAAUAAGCAUCGGCUAACUCCGUGCCAGCAGCCGCGGUAAGACGGAGGAUGCAAGUGUUAUCCGGAAUCACUGGGCGUAAAGCGUCUGUAGGUGGUUUGAUAAGUCAACUGUUAAAUCUUGAGGCUCAACCUCAAAACCGCAGUCGAAACUAUUAGACUAGAGUAUAGUAGGGGUAAAGGGAAUUUCCAGUGGAGCGGUGAAAUGCGUAGAGAUUGGAAAGAACACCGAUGGCGAAGGCACUUUACUGGGCUAUUACUAACACUGAGAGACGAAAGCUAGGGUAGCA